GCCCUCUUAGCUCAGUGGUAGAGCGCAUCACUCGUAUAGCGGUGGAAUAUUAAGAAGUUGACAUGAUGAGGUCGGUUGUUCAAUCCAGCCAGGGGGCA